CGUGGCGUCAGGACGAACGGCUGGCGGCGUGCUUAACACAUGCAAGUCGAACGGUGAAGCGGAGCUUGCUCUGCGGAUCAGUGGCGAACGGGUGAGUAACACGUGAGCAACCUACCCUUGACUCUGGGAUAACAGUUGGAAACAGCUGCUAAUACCGGAUAUGACCCUGGUGGACAUCCACUGGGGUGGAAAGCUCCGACGGUCAAGGAUGGGCUCGCGGCCUAUCAGCUUGUUGGUGAGGUAACGGCUCACCAAGGCGUCGACGGGUAGCCGGCCUGAGAGGGCGAUCGGCCACACUGGGACUGAGAUACGGCCCAGACUCCUACGGGAGGCAGCAGUGGGGAAUAUUGCACAAUGGGCGAAAGCCUGAUGCCAGCAACGCCGCGUGCGGGAUGACGGCCUUCGGGUUGUAAACCGCUUUCAGCAGGGACGAAGGGUUUCUGACGGUACCUGCAGAAGAAGCACCGGCUAACUACGUGCCAGCCGCCGC
rnacentral:rRNA from 1 species